GCAUCGCGAAGGCCCGCGGCGGGUGUUGA
rnacentral:piRNA from 1 species